UACGAAGGGGGCUAGCGUUGCUCGGAAUCACUGGGCGUAAAGGGUGCGUAGGCGGGUCUUUAAGUCAGGGGUGAAAUCCUGGAGCUCAACUCCAGAACUGCCUUUGAUACUGAAGAUCUUGAGUUCGGGAGAGGUGAGUGGAACUGCGAGUGUAGAGGUGAAAUUCGUAGAUAUUCGCAAGAACACCAGUGGCGAAGGCGGCUCACUGGCCCGAUACUGACGCUGAGGCACGAGAGCGUGGGGAGCAAACAGGG
rnacentral:rRNA from 1 species